GGACAGCAAAUAGCAUUUCAAAAGGCAGCUUCCCAAGCAUACACUGUGUUAGAGGAAACGUCUUCUAAGUCUUUCCUCAUGGAGAACUGGGAAGAUGAGGGACUUGGUGGCUGUUUAAAAUUAAGCCGCCCCCUGAAAUAAAAGCCGGAGAGCUCUCCCCUGACAAGGAAGCCGACGGGAAGGAAGGUGCACGGAGCUACCAGGAUAAGUACCUGCACCAGCAAAAGAGACGGCCACCACGCCACCAGAAAGGGG